GCCGCGGUGGCGGAACUGGCAGACGCAGCAGACUCAAAAUCUGCCGAUGGUAACAUCGUGGGGGUUCGAUUCCCUUCCGCGGCACCA
rnacentral:tRNA from 1 species